rnacentral:piRNA from 1 species
UGACUGUAGAGUGAGUAGUGCGAGAAUUC